rnacentral:rRNA from 1 species
UUAAGCGACUAAGCGUACACGGUGGAUGCCCUGGCAGUCAGAGGCGAUGAAGGACGUGCUAAUCUGCGAUAAGCGUCGGUAAGGUGAUAUGAACCGUUAUAACCGGCGAUUUCCGAAUGGGGAAACCCAGUGUGAUUCGUCACACUAUCAUUAACUGAAUCCAUAGGUUAAUGAGGCGAACCGGGGGAACUGAAACAUCUAAGUACCCCGAGGAAAAGAAAUCAACCGAGAUUCCCCCAGUAGCGGCGAGCGAACGGGGAGGAGCCCAGAGCCUGAAUCAGUGUGUGUGUUAGUGGAAGCGUCUGGAAAGGCGCGCGAUACAGGGUGACAGCCCCGUACACAAAAAUGCACAUACUGUGAGCUCGAUGAGUAGGGCGGGACACGUGGUAUCCUGUCUGAAUAUGGGGGGACCAUCCUCCAAGGCUAAAUACUCCUGACUGACCGAUAGUGAACCAGUACCGUGAGGGAAAGGCGAAAAGGACCCCGGCGAGGGGAGUGAAAAAGAACCUGAAACCGUGUACGUACAAGCAGUGGGAGCCUCUUUUAUGGGGUGACUGCGUACCUUUUGUAUAAUGGGUCAGCGACUUAUAUUCUGUAGCAAGGUUAACCGAAUAGGGGAGCCGAAGGGAAACCGAGUCUUAACCGGGCGUUAAGUUGCAGGGUAUAGACCCGAAACCCGGUGAUCUAGCCAUGGGCAGGUUGAAGGUUGGGUAACACUAACUGGAGGACCGAACCGACUAAUGUUGAAAAAUUAGCGGAUGACUUGUGGCUGGGGGUGAAAGGCCAAUCAAACCGGGAGAUAGCUGGUUCUCCCCGAAAGCUAUUUAGGUAGCGCCUCGUGAAUUCAUCUCCGGGGGUAGAGCACUGUUUUCGGCAAGGGGGUCAUCCCGACUUACCAACCCGAUGCAAACUGCGAAUACCGGAGAAUGUUAUCACGGGAGACACACGGCGGGUGCUAACGUCCGUCGUGAAGAGGGAAACAACCCAGACCGCCAGCUAAGGUCCCAAAGUCAUGGUUAAGUGGGAAACGAUGUGGGAAGGCCCAGACAGCCAGGAUGUUGGCUUAGAAGCAGCCAUCAUUUAAAGAAAGCGUAAUAGCUCACUGGUCGAGUCGGCCUGCGCGGAAGAUGUAACGGGGCUAAACCAUGCACCGAAGCUGCGGCAGCGACACUGUGUGUUGUUGGGUAGGGGAGCGUUCUGUAAGCCUGUGAAGGUGUACUGUGAGGUAUGCUGGAGGUAUCAGAAGUGCGAAUGCUGACAUAAGUAACGAUAAAGCGGGUGAAAAGCCCGCUCGCCGGAAGACCAAGGGUUCCUGUCCAACGUUAAUCGGGGCAGGGUGAGUCGACCCCUAAGGCGAGGCCGAAAGGCGUAGUCGAUGGGAAACAGGUUAAUAUUCCUGUACUUGGUGUUACUGCGAAGGGGGGACGGAGAAGGCUAUGUUGGCCGGGCGACGGUUGUCCCGGUUUAAGCGUGUAGGCUGGUUUUCCAGGCAAAUCCGGAAAAUCAAGGCUGAGGCGUGAUGACGAGGCACUACGGUGCUGAAGCAACAAAUGCCCUGCUUCCAGGAAAAGCCUCUAAGCAUCAGGUAACAUCAAAUCGUACCCCAAACCGACACAGGUGGUCAGGUAGAGAAUACCAAGGCGCUUGAGAGAACUCGGGUGAAGGAACUAGGCAAAAUGGUGCCGUAACUUCGGGAGAAGGCACGCUGAUAUGUAGGUGAAGUCCCUCGCGGAUGGAGCUGAAAUCAGUCGAAGAUACCAGCUGGCUGCAACUGUUUAUUAAAAACACAGCACUGUGCAAACACGAAAGUGGACGUAUACGGUGUGACGCCUGCCCGGUGCCGGAAGGUUAAUUGAUGGGGUCAGCGCAAGCGAAGCUCUUGAUCGAAGCCCCGGUAAACGGCGGCCGUAACUAUAACGGUCCUAAGGUAGCGAAAUUCCUUGUCGGGUAAGUUCCGACCUGCACGAAUGGCGUAAUGAUGGCCAGGCUGUCUCCACCCGAGACUCAGUGAAAUUGAACUCGCUGUGAAGAUGCAGUGUACCCGCGGCAAGACGGAAAGACCCCGUGAACCUUUACUAUAGCUUGACACUGAACAUUGAGCCUUGAUGUGUAGGAUAGGUGGGAGGCUUUGAAGUGUGGACGCCAGUCUGCAUGGAGCCGACCUUGAAAUACCACCCUUUAAUGUUUGAUGUUCUAACGUGGACCCGUGAUCCGGGUUGCGGACAGUGUCUGGUGGGUAGUUUGACUGGGGCGGUCUCCUCCUAAAGAGUAACGGAGGAGCACGAAGGUUGGCUAAUCCUGGUCGGACAUCAGGAGGUUAGUGCAAUGGCAUAAGCCAGCUUGACUGCGAGCGUGACGGCGCGAGCAGGUGCGAAAGCAGGUCAUAGUGAUCCGGUGGUUCUGAAUGGAAGGGCCAUCGCUCAACGGAUAAAAGGUACUCCGGGGAUAACAGGCUGAUACCGCCCAAGAGUUCAUAUCGACGGCGGUGUUUGGCACCUCGAUGUCGGCUCAUCACAUCCUGGGGCUGAAGUAGGUCCCAAGGGUAUGGCUGUUCGCCAUUUAAAGUGGUACGCGAGCUGGGUUUAGAACGUCGUGAGACAGUUCGGUCCCUAUCUGCCGUGGGCGCUGGAGAACUGGAGGGGGGCUGCUCCUAGUACGAGAGGACCGGAGUGGACGCAUCACUGGUGUUCGGGUUGUCAUGCCAAUGGCACUGCCCGGUAGCUAAAUGCGGAAGAGAUAAGUGCUGAAAGCAUCUAAGCACGAAACUUGCCCCGAGAUGAGUUCUCCCUGACCCUUUAAGGGUCCUGAAGGAACGUUGAAGACGACGACGUUGAUAGGCCGGGUGUGUAAGCGCAGCGAUGCGUUGAGCUAACCGGUACUAAUGAACCGUGAGGCUUAACCUU